CUGCCAGUCGAGGGGCAGCGGGAUUGAAGCUUGCUUCAAUUGCCGGCGACCGGCGCACGGGUGAGUAACACGUAUCCCACCUUCCGUUUACUCGGGGAUAGCCUUUCCAAAGAAAGAUUAAUACCCGAUAGUAUGGUGAGAUUGCAUGAUAACACCAUUAAAGAUUCAUCGGUAAACGAUGGGGAUGCGUUCCAUUAGGUAGUAGGCGGGGUAACGGCCCACCUAGCCUACGAUGGAUAGGGGUUCUGAGAGGAAGGUCCCCCACAUUGGAACUGAGACACGGUCCCAACUCCUACGGGAGGCAGCAGUGAGGAAUAUUGGUCAAUGGGCGAGAGCCUGAACCAGCCAAGUAGCGUGAAGGAUGAAGGUCCUACGGAUUGUAAACUUCUUUUAUAAGGGAAUAAAACGCUCCACGUGUGGAGCCUUGUAUGUACCUUAUGAAUAAGCAUCGGCUAACUCCGUGCCAGCAGCCGCGGUAAUACGGAGGAUGCGAGCGUUAUCCGGAUUUAUUGGGUUUAAAGGGAG
rnacentral:rRNA from 1 species